UGGGGAAUUUUGGACAAUGGGCGAAAGCCUGAUCCAGCAAUGCCGCGUGUGUGAAGAAGGCCUUCGGGUUGUAAAGCACUUUUGUCCGGAAAGAAAUCCUUGGCUCUAAUACAGUCGGGGGAUGACGGUACCGGAAGAAUAAGCACCGGCUAACUACGUGCCAGCAGCCGCGGUAAUACGUAGGGUGCAAGCGUUAAUCGGAAUUACUGGGCGUAAAGCGUGCGCAGGCGGUUUGCUAAGACCGAUGUGAAAUCCCCGGGCUCAACCUGGGAACUGCAUUGGUGACUGGCAGGCUAGAGUAUGGCAGAGGGGGGUAGAAUUCCACGUGUAGCAGUGAAAUGCGUAGAGAUGUGGAGGAAUACCGAUGGCGAAGGCAGCCCCCUGGGCCAAUACUGACGCUCAUGCACGAAAGCGUGGGGGAGCAAACAGGAUUAGAUACCCUGGUAGUCCACGCCCUAAAACGAUGUCAACUAGUUGUUGGGGGAUUCAUUUCCUUAGUAACGUAGCUAACGCGUGAAGUUGACCGCCUGGGGAGUACGGUCGCAAGAUUAAAACUCAAAUGAAUUGACGGGGUCAUAGCUG
rnacentral:rRNA from 1 species